rnacentral:lncRNA from 1 species
AUAGUUUCCCUAUCUCGCGGCCGCGAGACUUGCAGUGUGUCAUGUCCAGUCCAGUCGUCCUCUCGCGCGGGUGCGCGAUCAUGCCUUGCGGUCGCGCGUCUAUUGCCUCGCGGUCGCUCAACUUGCAGAAGGUCUUCCCUGUUUAGCCCUGCUCUCGCGCGGCCACGCGAGUCUAAGCCUGUUCUGCCGCGCGGUCGCGCGGCUUGUUUUCUGCAGUUUCUGGUUCUAGUUCUGUCUUGCUGCUGAUGCAACUUGUUCACUCAUGCUCACUCCUCUUGCUUGCUUGGUCUCCAUGCUUUAUUUCACCUCCAUGUCAUGCACAUUCUUGCCUUGUGACUAGCCUUCACGAAUCCACUCGCCUUGUGCCUCUAAUUCCACCAAAAUCAAGCUGAUUCCUGUACUUAUUCACCAAAAGGAGUUUUAAGUAAAUGCAAUGCAAAAUAACGUGAAAUGCAACAAAAAUAUAAUGAAAUGUUGUGACGCCCCCAAAAUAGGUAUACAUCACCCAUCCUGAGUUGUCAAUACAUGGUACAGAAACAACUACAACUUUAUUAUUACAACAGUAAAACUGUGAGUUUGAAUACAAAUAUUAUCUUCUAG